GGUCCCCAGUUAAUAGGUUCUUCCGUCCACCCUAUGACGUCACCAUCACUCGAUCAUCCCGGUACCUGUUUGAUGUAAUCAUUAUUAAUGCACACAUUAUCCAAUUUAGGUUAUUUUCAAUUGAUAUCCAAUCACGUCGAGGAAUGAAAAACUACCACAAAUCCACGAAGGGAAUGUCGAUAAGAAGAACGUGCACCUGCCAAAAUUUCUAAUUGCACAUUUAACCGACCUUCUUGCUAUUAAGUAACAGUUUCCACCCAUAAUGAUUUCCCCAUAGACGACCCGAUUGUGAAAAAAGAAGAAAAUGAAAGCGAAGAUUUAAUGAAAACAAAUGUAAGCAAUUCCUCCACGACUUGACCCAAUUGAUGGUGGCGAAAUUCGGCAGUUGCAUGCCAAUCCGCAAGAGGAGCCAUUCGAUUUCUGAAGAUUGACAACUUUAUUGAAAGCUUGACGUUCUGCUGAGCUUCUCGUCGACCGUACUGGAAUCUUAGACUUUAACUUAUUGUCCGCCAAGCUCUGCUGUAAUUCACUGGUGACGUUUGGUCUGUUGUCGGAGACGAUUUGCUUGGAAGUUACGACUCUCACGGGAAUCUUCGAGGCCACAACAUUUGCUGGUGGCAAAACAGUCUUCACUGAUGGACGAGAUUCGGACGAGACAUCUGUGCUGAUGGAAUCUUCUGUUUGCGGAAAUGUUCAGUCUCGGCGGCAAAAGGACCAUUUGACACCCUCACCGGGAUUUUGGAUGCUGAGCAUCCCAGUCUUGAUGAUGAGACGGGUCGACCGUAAGUUGGUGAAACGGAAAGACUCCGCCCGUUGGUAACAGACUGGAUUUCGGAUGCAUUUGUCGGUUGCUCGGCUGCAGAACGAUUGGAAGAUGUCGCUGGUGGUAGGGGCUCUGCUAUCGGGAAGCAAGAAUUCUGUUGGAAAGUCAUUCUUGCCGUUUCUGCUGGAGGAUUUCCGAAGUCGCUAGAAGCUUGCUGGAUCACUGAUGGCUUGGAGAUUUCCAUUUUGCUUUCGGCCAACAGUCGAAGGAUUUCCGUGUUCUUGUCUUCAAAUCCAGUCAGGUUAUUUUCCAAUACGUUGUCAAUCGAAUCUGUGGCGGUUUUGUCAGACGACAGAAACGAUAUAACCUCUAGGAGACGGUCUUUAUUAGCUUCAAUAACACGGCUCGACUUUGAUUUCUUUCCGACUAAACGAAGAUUUGCUUGUUCAGGGAUUCGUUGUUUUGCUCCCAUUUCACGUCUAGAGGCUGCCCCCUCGUCUUGUUGGUUUUCGAGCUGACGAAUCUUGUUGUUGGCGAGAGCGAGUUCGAAUUCUAAUUUCGCAACUUGGACCUUCAGGAUCUUAUUAUCGGCCGCAACAUUUCUAUUUUCAGCGAGCUUUCUGAUCAAGGUUUCGGUGAUUUUGCAAUGUUUCCGCCGGUUUCCGCUUUGAAAAAGCAAUAGAGCGCCAACGGCGGUCAAAUUGCAAACUUCAACAUUUUCAAACAAGUUCUACUU
rnacentral:lncRNA from 1 species